rnacentral:lncRNA from 1 species
UAAACGUUGUUGCGGCGGCCCGGGCGGUCGAUGUGGUACUGAUCGUUUGAUCUUAUUUACGCGGUGCGUAGAGAACAUGUGCUCCUUUUUUGUGUGAAUUAACGAUCACUAAGCCCUGGGUCCUGUGCAAUGCUAUUAGCUCGCUGUAUGUUUCUUGCGGUGCGCCGUUGUUGAUUAUCGUAGUGCGGUCCACACGCGCUUUCUUUGUGCCCGGCUCAUGAGAAGUGUUGUACUCUCGCCGCUCCCGCAUCGGCUCACAGUGCACGGAAGAAUGUGUUGAUAGUUGUGCUAUCGCGUGCUGUAGUUAACCGCAAUUCAACACUACGCUGGACGGACUGUUGGUGCAGUCGAUGCGGCGUGAACGGACACGAAGGAGCGCUCGCCUCAGAAGGGAUGUCACAAUUUCCUGAGACGGAGGCAUCUCUGCACCACAAAGGAGACUGCGGCACUAUGCAGCCUGAACAGCACGACAAAGCAUCUGAUCUGCCUGCUUUGACAAGAUGUGGCUGGGCCUGCAGAAAGAGUGUAAGCACACUACUGUGUUGCAGAUCAGUGCUGGUGCUGAUCUCUACGUCUGAGUUGGCCUCACAACGUCCAGGCGCCACUGUGCUUUGCUUCAUUGACAAGGUAAUAUGAUAUAGACACCUUGCACCUCAGUAUCAGUUUUGAGAAAUAUGCUAAGACACAAGGGUUGGCCUUGGUGAUAAAUACACUCGUGUUC